rnacentral:ncRNA from 2 species
GGUCACGAGCGACCAGCGACACGCCCUCCGCGUGCUGGUCCGGCAACCGCGCCCCUCGCGCACGGUGCCCCAGGAGGAAGACCGGCCCGCCACGACCGUGGCGGGAAGAGCGAAGG